AUGGGCUGAUGCUCUAUCCACUGGGACAAACCAACCAGGAGCAGCUUUACUUGGAAGACAGUUAAAUUGCCUGCAGAUCAGCUUUCAAGACUUGAAUGUAAGCUCUGUUGAGAGAGAGAGAGAGAGAGAGAGAUAAAGAAGAGAGAACAAAACAUCAUUGUUCCACUUAUUUAUGCAAUCAUUGGUUGAUACUUGUAUGUUCCCUGGCCGGGGAUUGAACCUGAAACUU